GGCUGAGAAAGUGGAACCGGGACCGGCCGAACUCCAUGAAGACCUGCACGCCAAGGAGCACCGUACAAAGGGACACGCAGAGCCUCACGAAAAGACUGACCCUACUGAUUAAUCCAGUGAAGAUGUGCAUGCCAGAUUGCGCCCUAAGUGGAACUGUAUUGUGUCCAAAAGCAACUGGUUCUUGUAUUUGCAAAAUACAGUAUAAUGUGGCAUCUUAGAAAAGCCUGAUUACAUGGACAGUAUCUCUCGCACUGCACAACACUUGGACCCCAGUGUAGACCGUUAGGAGUUGCAUAAGUGAUCACUGAAGUUCUGUCUGGAUUUUAUGGGUUUUUAUCAGCCCAGCCCUUUUUACCUACACCUCUGCACCACUGUGUGUGGAUUAUCUACAACUAGUUCUGUUUGUACUGUUGCUAUCAGGAGGAAAUGAACAAGAUUCCUGGAGGAUAUCACUCACAACCAUGCUCUUUCAGCAA